UGCAGUGUAGGUGUUUCACCAAGGCCUUCUAAUAAAAGUUUGUAGGGGCAUUACUCUCAUUGAUACUCCAAGAAGGAUAGGUGGAAAAGAGAAACUUACAUUUGAUUCAGCAGCAGGGUUCAUAUUCCUAGAGGUCAAGAAAGCCCCACCAAGGGCCAAGGAGCAGCAAUAGCUCUUCAUCCAAGCCGGAAUCCAAAACUAAAGACAAGUGUGUUGUAAUGUAAAGAAAGCAUUUGUAUAUGAUGUAUUUCCCUUCCUUUUUUGGCCAAUUUGUUGUAAUACAUGAAAAGAACAACACCUAAGCAAUCAUCAUUUGUGCAAAUUUCCAAUCAGCUUUUUUUUUU